GAUGAACGCUGGCGGCGUGCCUAAUACAUGCAAGUCGAGCGAACGGACGAGAAGCUUGCUUCUCUGAUGUUAGCGGCGGACGGGUGAGUAACACGUGGAUAACCUACCUAUAAGACUGGGAUAACUUCGGGAAACCGGAGCUAAUACCGGAUAAUAUUUUGAACCGCAUGGUUCAAAAGUGAAAGACGGUCUUGCUGUCACCCAUAGAUGGAUCCGCGCUGCAUUAGCUAGUUGGUAAGGUAACGGCUUACCAAGGCAACGAUGCAUAGCCGACCUGAGAGGGUGAUCGGCCACACUGGAACUGAGACACGGUCCAGACUCCUACGGGAGGCAGCAGUAGGGAAUCUUCCGCAAUGGGCGAAAGCCUGACGGAGCAACGCCGCGUGAGUGAUGAAGGUCUUCGGAUCGUAAAACUCUGUUAUUAGGGAAGAACAUAUGUGUAAGUAACUGUGCACAUCUUGACGGUACCUAAUCAGAAAGCCACGGCUAACUACGUG
rnacentral:rRNA from 1 species